AGCCAUGGGGGAUAACCUAUCAUCCCGUGCGGUCGGUAUAAUUUGACCGCACAGGAUAAUAGAUUAUCCCGUGCGGUC
rnacentral:pre_miRNA from 13 species